rnacentral:rRNA from 1 species
GAUGAACGCUGGCGGCGGGCCUAAUACAUGCAAGUCGAGCGAACAGACGAGGAGCUUGCUCGGCUGACGUUAGCGGCGGACGGGUGAGUAACACGUGGAUAACCGACCUAUAAGACUGGGAUAACUUCGGGAAACCGGAGCUAGUACCGGAUAAUAUAUUGAACGGCAUGGUUCAACAGUGAAAGACGGUUUUGCUGUCACUUAUAGAUGGAUCCGCGCCGCAUUAGCUAGUUGGUAAGGUAACGGCCUACCAAGGCAACGAUGCGUAGCCGACCUGAGAGGGUGAUCGGCCACACUGGAACUGAGACACGGUCCAGACUCCUACGGGAGGCAGCAGUAGGGAAUCUUCCGCAAUGGGCGAAAGCCUGACGGAGCAACGCCGCGUGAGUGAUGAAGGUCUUCGGAUCGUAAAACUCUGUUAUUAGGGAAGAACAAAUGUGUAAGUAACUAUGCACGUCUUGACGGUACCUAAUCAGAAAGCCACGGCUAACUACGUG